GGACUACCGGGGUAUCUAAUCCUGUUUGCUCCCCUUGCUCUCGCGCCUCAGCGUCAGGUAUUAACUAGAAAAUCGCUUUCGCCACAGGUGUUCUUCCACAUAUCUACGCAUUUCACCGCUACACGUGGAAUUCCAUUUUCUCCGUCAACCCUCAAGUCUAUCAGUUUCAAAUGCAGCACCAAAGUUGAGCUUUGGUAUUUCACAUCUGACUUGAUAGUCCGCCUACGCGCCCUUUACGCCCAAUAAUUCCGAUUAAUGCUUGCACCCUCCGUAUUACCGCGGCUGCUGGCAC
rnacentral:rRNA from 1 species